AAAUUUUUAUUUGCUAAUUAUCUAUCUAUUAGGUUUUUUUCUUUUUAUUUUUAAAGAGGAUUUGGGGUUGCGAUAGUUGACAGUACUGUGAGGGAAAGUUGAAAAAUUUAAAAAUUUUUUAUUAAAAAGUAAAGCGUUUUGUACCUUUUGUAUCAGGGUUUAAUUAUAAAAUUAAUAUUUAUUGAAUUCCCGAAUUAUUUUGAGCUAUUGAAUAUAAUUCUAAGAGUUUUAAAUUUUGGAAAAAUAUUUUUAUAGAAAUGAAAUUUUAUUCGAAAAGUAGGAUAUCUGGUUAUAAAAUUAAAGUUAAAUACUUAUUAUAAAUAAUAAUAUUUAUAGAUUGUUUAUAGUUUUUAUUUUUAGGGAUAAGCUUAAAAAUUUAAUAUAUAUUAAAUUGUGAAGGAUUAGAGGUUUAAAAUUUACUUGUGUUUGUUAUAAAAUAGUCUAAUUUUAAGGGUCAUUUAUUUUAAUUUUUAUUUUAUUUAACGUUAUUUAAAAGUUUUAAUGUUAAGAUUAGUAUAAUUAUAGUUUUUUGGAGGAUUUGAUGUGUAGUGUUUAAUAAUUAAAAAAAAUAGGAACUCGGCAAAUUAUGUUCUUGAAUGUUUAUCAAAAACAUUGUAUUUUGUUUUAAUGAAAUGUAGGAUCUGCUCAAUGCUAAAGUAAAUUGCUGUGGUAUUAUGACUAUACGAAGGUAUUGAAAUAAGGCUUUAAAUGGGUGCUAAGAGAAUGGUUUAACAAGGAGAGACUUUCUUUUUUUUUAUAUUAGAAGUUAAUUUGAAAAUGAAAAAGUUUUUAUAAAUUUUUGGGACAAGAAGACCCUAUGAAUUUUUUUAAAAGGAAAUUUUUAAUUAUUUUUAAGAUUAUUAGAAAUUUAUUUUUUAGUUGAUUGGGGUGAUUUUUAAAGAUUAUUAAUCUUUAAAAUUUUUUAGUAAAAAGUUCCAUUAGUAGUGAUUUUUUGAUAAAAAUACUCUAGGGAUAACAGCGUUAUUAUUUUGGAUAGUUCAUAUAGAUAAAAUAGUUUGCGACCUCGAUGUUGGAUUAGGAUUCUUUUAUGAUGAAGAAGUUAUAAGGAGAAGUUUGCUCAACUUUUAAAGUCCUACAUGAUCUGAGUUCAGACCGGCGUGAGCCAGGUUGGUUUCUAUCUAAAUAUAAUUUAGAAAUUUUCAUAGUACGAAAGGAAUUGUUAAUUUAAAUUGUUUAUUUUAGGGAGGAAGUUUUGAUAUUAAAU
rnacentral:rRNA from 1 species